AGAAAAUUCAAAAAGUACAAGUUCCAAUGAAAAUAAAACAAAAACCGAAAAAGAAAAUUGUUCUUAAAAAUACAAAAUUUGAUUUCCAACAAGUUCAGCUCUUCUUCUUCACGUUGGGAUUUUCAUCAUCCCACCGGCUCACUUUUCUUUGGUCCACCUUCUUGAUUACUUUUGAGUAUGGUCUUUGAAUCUCCAUCAUUCCUUUUUCCUUCAACUUCUUUAUUAUCCAUGGCUUCUUUUUAAACCUCACUUUGCUCUCUGGUAGGAGUGGAUCUUCUUUUGCUUUUGCGUGAAUGGUUCUUCUCCUUUAUUUUCAGGCACCUACAAAACACAACAACUGUCAAAAUAAUCAUUACCUGUUAUGCUUUCUUCUUGUUCUUCAUUCACCUCUGGCUUCUCAAAUGUUUUUCUUUUCACUGUCUUAAUCUCAUCCCCUUCACAGCCAGUAUAGAGAAAUAGAUGAUUCAAAUCUCUCAUCAUCAUUCUUCCAUCAUGAACAUCAAUAAACAUCUUUGAUGUUGCCA
rnacentral:lncRNA from 1 species